GUAGGGAAUAUUGGACAAUGGGGGGAACCCUGAUCCAGCCAUGUCGCGUGGAGGAAGACUGCCCUCUGGGUUGUAAACUCCUUUUAUAUGGGAAGAACCGUCCUCAUUAAUGAGUGACCUGACGGUACCAUAGGAAUAAGCACCGGCUAACUCCGUGCCAGCAGCCGCGGUAAUACGGAGGGUGCAAGCGUUAUCCGGAUUCACUGGGUUUAAAGGGUGCGUAGGCGGAUAAAUAAGUCAGUGGUGAAAUCAACGGGCUCAACCUGUUAACUGCCAUUGAUACUGUGUAUCUUGAAUAUGAGAGAGGUAGGCGGAAUGUUGCAUGUAGCGGUGAAAUGCUUAGAUAUGCUACGGAACACCGAUUGCGAAGGCAGCUUACUAUUUCGUAAUUGACGCUGAGGCACGAAAGCGUGGGUAGCGAACAGGAUUAGAAACCCUUGUAGUCC
rnacentral:rRNA from 1 species